AUAUUAUAUAUAUAUAUAGAACUAGGUUACUAUACUAUUAAUAGCACCAAGUCAUUAGUGCUAUCAAGUUUUUAGCCAUUGGAUUAAGAGAUGUGCGGUUAGAAUGAUGUGGGUCCCUUAGGGUUGAGUGGGUGGUUGGUUAAAUAGUAUGAUCUAAUGGAUGAAAAUGAUCAAAAGGUUAGCACCAAGUACUUUGUGCUAUUAAUAGCAUAGUAGCCGGAGUCUA
rnacentral:lncRNA from 1 species